GGCUAAAUGGACAGUGAUACUGCACCCAGGCCACUUAAAUAAGAUGAAGUGCUUUGGGUGCCUAUAGUGUCCCUUUAAUAGUAAAUUAAACAAAAAAAAAAAAAAAGGUUUAUAGGAAAUUGGUCUUCUGCAUAGUAAAAGGCUUUAGGUGUUCCGUCUCAGUAAAUACUACAUCAAAUUAUUGUUAGUGAUAUACUUCAUCCUACUGUUCAGGGCAUUUAAAGCAUUUGUAAUGUUGGUUACAGUCAGGAGUAACAUCUAAUAAACCACACACCCAAAUUGUAAGACUUCAGAAAAAUAACCAUUUGAGAGAACAAGGGCAUGUUGAUGAAUAUUGUUGUAAAUGUCAAGGUGUUAAUCAUAGCAAGAAAUAUGUACACAUAGCAUAUAGAUGACAUUGUUCCCAAGUGCCGGAAUUAAGAAGGGACAG